rnacentral:rRNA from 1 species
CCUACGGGAGGCAGCAGUGAGGAAUAUUGGUCAAUGGACGGAAGUCUGAACCAGCGAUGCCGCGUGCGGGAAGAAGGCUCUAUGAGUUGUAAACUGCUUUUGUACAAGGGUAAACCUGAAUACGUGUAUUCAGCUGAAAGGACUGUAAGAAUAAGGAUCGGCUAACUCCGUGCAAGCAGCCGCGGUAAUACGGAGGAUCCAAGCGUUAUCCGGAUUUAUUGGGUAUAAAGGGUGCGUAGGCGGAUUGAUAAGUUAGAGGUGAAAUGUCCGAGCUUAACUCGGGAACUGCCUUUAAUACUGUUGAUCUAGAGAGUAGGUGCGGUAGGCGGAAUGUCUAGUGUAGCGGUGAAAUGCUUAGAGAUUAUACAGAACACCGAUUGCGAAGGCAGCUUACUAAUCUAUAUCUGACGUUGAGGCACGAAAGCGUGGGGAGCAAACAGGAUUAGAUACCCCUGUAGUC